GUGGGGAAUUUUGGACAAUGGGCGCAAGCCUGAUCCAGCAAUGCCGCGUGCAGGAAGAAGGCCUUCGGGUUGUAAACUGCUUUUGUACGGAACGAAACGGUUCUGGUUAAUACCCGGGGCUAAUGACGGUACCGUAAGAAUAAGCACCGGCUAACUACGUGCCAGCAGCCGCGGUAAUACGUAGGGUGCAAGCGUUAAUCGGAAUUACUGGGCGUAAAGCGUGCGCAGGCGGUUGUGUAAGACAGGCGUGAAAUCCCCGGGCUCAACCUGGGAAUUGCGCUUGUGACUGCACGGCUGGAGUGCGGCAGAGGGGGAUGGAAUUCCGCGUGUAGCAGUGAAAUGCGUAGAUAUGCGGAGGAACACCGAUGGCGAAGGCAAUCCCCUGGGCCUGCACUGACGCUCAUGCACGAAAGCGUGGGGAGCAAACAGGAUUAGAAACCCGGGUAGUCC
rnacentral:rRNA from 1 species